rnacentral:rRNA from 1 species
GAUGAACGCUGGCGGCGUGCCUAAUACAUGAAAGUCGAGCGAAGCGGGGAAGGGUGAGUAACACGUGGAGAACCUCCUAUAAGACUGGGAUAACUUCGGGAAACCGGGGCUAAAACGGAUACUUAUAGAUGGAACCUCAUUGCAUUAGCUAGGUGGUAAGGUAACGGCUUACCAAGGCAACGAUGCAUAGCCGAACUGAGAGGGUGCUCGGCAACUCUGGCACUGAGGCACGGUCCAGACUCCUACGGGAGGCAGCAGUAGGGCAUCUUCCGCAAUGGGCGAACUCCUGACCGGGCAACGCCGCGGUAGUGAUGAAGGUCUUCGGAUCGUAAAACUCUGUUAUUAGCGAAGCGGCACCUAAUCAGAAGGCCACGACUGACUACGAGCCAGCGGCCUCGGUAAUAC